ACAAUAUACAGACGGACAAUUUAGCAUAGUUUGUUGAGCAUAUAAUAUAAUAUAAACAUAAACUAUCAACUUAGGUUUUUAGUUGAGAUGAAGCACAUACUUCAAUUUGGUAUCAGAGUCAUGCCAGAGGUCAUGGGCACGCGUGAGGAAAUAAAGUGUGAGGGGGAAGAAGCACAGAGACAGAAGUAGUAGAUCAGAAAAGAAUGAAGAACUUGAAAAAGUAGAGAGAUGGAACAGAAGAUUUGCACGUGAGGGGGAGUAGAGGUGACAAUAGUGAUAUGAUUCAUUAUAUUCGAUCUUUUUAGUGUGUAGUAUACAUUAGAUAUAAUAGUAAUAUUCAGUCCAACAAGCUAAGUGUUUGAGUUGAGUUGAGGCGAUGUGGUAUAUAUAUGAAGCUUCAAUUCAUCAUAUAUCUUGAUGAGCAUGAUGAUGUGCAGUUUUAGGAAUAAAGAAAAGAAGAUGAUUGGAGUUUA